AAACCGUUCAGGGGUAAACCUAAGAAACCCAAAAGAUCGAACGGGGAGAUUCAUCGUCAGCGACGCUGGCUUCACGUCGGUGGGCGAUGCCACGCGGGGGCCUCGCGGCCCUCAGCGCGGGCACGCUGCCGUGCGUCGAUGUCCGGCGUUCGUCGUCGUGCACUUCUCCCCUAGUAGAACGUCGCGACCCGCUGGGUGUCGGUCUACGGCCCGGGUGCGGUGGCUGACGCGUCGCCGGUAAAACGGCACGCGUCAAACCCCCGGUCGCCCGGCCGGCUGCCCGGCGGUACACGUUGAGGUAUCAGGCCGCAUCUCUCUCACGCGCCACGUGCGCGCGGAGUAUGCGUCGGGGCCGUCGCAAGCGCGCGCCACGGUACACGGCGGUUAACGGACCUAGUGCCGUCACCGGUCCUGGCCCGCUGUUGGUCGUACGGUUUCCCCUCCGACAGGCCUGCGAACGUCCCUCGCGCGCGCCCGGCUCCACCAGGGGACGGCGCGCGCGCGCGGGGACCGAUACCGGUCGGCGACGCUACUGCUUUGGGUACUCUUAGGA
rnacentral:rRNA from 1 species